rnacentral:rRNA from 1 species
AGGCUUAACACAUGCAACUCGGGCGCCCCGCAAGGGGAGCGGCAGACGGGUGAGUAACGCGUGGGAAUCUACCUUUUGCUACGGAAUAACGCAGGGAAACUUGUGCUAAUACCGUAUGUGCCCUUCGGGAGAAAGAUUUAUCGGCAAGAGAUGAGCCCGCGUUGGAUUAGCUAGUUGGUGGGGUAAAGGCCUACCAAGGCGACGAUCCAUAGCUGGUCUGAGAGGAUGAUCAGCCACAUUGGGACUGAGACACGGCCCAA